rnacentral:lncRNA from 1 species
GGGGGGGGGGUGGGGUGAGCGUGUGUAGGGUAAAAUGGCCUUUAUGUGUGAUAGAUAAACAUGUGCCAGCACCAAUAGUAAGCUGCUCAAAGCUCGAGUUGAUAGAAAGAUUUACCAUAUUUGCAGCCAUAUAAUGUAUUGGCUCCAGAGUCAAGAAUCCAAUUGUAAUCACCGACUGCAUGAGAUGCUGAAGGAACAAUCAAAAUGUGAGCCUAUGGAGGGGUUGAAUCAGGCUAAAAAGCAUGAUUAAAUCUCUGGUAGCAUGCAGCGGCAACAUAACCAUUCUUGCCCCAUAGCUGACAACGAAUAAUUUGAGCAUUACUAUCACAUUUCUGAUUAAUUCGGUGAUUAUGAUUAUUCUUUGAAUUAGCACGAAAGUGACCGAUAGAGAAAGUAUGAAGCAUGGACGAAAGUGAGGCCGGCUGAUGAGGUUGUUAAGGCUACUUAUCUUAAAUAGCCAGAUUAUUUAGUUCCAGCCAUACUUCAUGAGCUACAAGCAUAGGGCAGCCAGCUCGGACAGUGAUAGCAGUGCCAAGUCCAUUAUAAUCAUGGCGUAGUCCAUGAAAAAUAUAAAUUUGAUACUCCUAAAAUGACAAUGGCUUACCAAUGGAAUCCAAAUUAUCAGCAAUGGUUUUUGCUUGUUGGAGAUACUCCAUAUGACAGUCCCAGAAUCACGUUGAAGUGCCUGAACUUGAAGUCUGAGAUUUACAGCCCGAGUCAAGUUUUGUGACGCAUUAGCAAAUGAGAUCCAGAUUCAUGCGACAAGAUCACCAAUUUUGAGUCACAACCGGAUCACUGACUGCAGGGAGAAGCAAUCCUAAUACCGGUUGAUCCUUGAUAUGCCAUGUCAGGAUUGGGACCGGAUACAACCUUUCCAACUUACUUCGAUUUGUAUCUGUUUUCGAGAAGUUCGUUUGCACGAAGAUAUCGUAGGAUGGAUCUUUUCCAAGCCAUAUAACUGUUCCCCUCUAAUCGGAUCCCCAACAGAUGGAGAGGAGGCACCACCUACCAGAGAUAAAAAUGAAGAGGAGUUUGCCAUGAUCAGCAAGUUAAGAAAAGUAGAGAGGCAAAAGGGAGAUUGUGCUUCAGAAUUCUGUCUCAGAUGAUCAGAAAGGUGGAGAAAAGCAAAGAACUUGACAGAAGAAGUCGAAAAAGCCGAUGACCACUUUAGAGAAGGAGCCAAACUUAGAGCUAGAUGCGGGAGUAUACAGAAGUAGACACAACAAAGAAUGAGAAUAAUGAGGAGAUAGAGAAAGGAAUAGACACAAGAGAGCCGUAGGAUCGAAGUAGGUGAUGAUCAGAUGAUUGGAUUUGACUAUUAAUAUGGUUUAAUUAUCACUUAGUCAUAUUUAACUCAUUAGAUUAGUCAAAUGUACUGAAUCAAUUACAAUAGACCCAAUUAAUUAAGGAGUUCUAUUUCUAAUCAAAUCUGGACUGCAAGUUAAUUUUGAUUAGAGUUAGUCUUUAGAUGGGACAAGGUAAGUACAGGUAUAAAUAUAGAGAUGUCCUGAUCUUUUUUUCUAACUCUCAGAAAGAUGUGAGCAAUUUUCAUCGAUCAUCUAAAGAGGAGAAUAAGGAGAGAGAAGAUCAAACAUCCCAUGAAAGAAGAUCAGACAUGUUACGGGCUAUGGGAUCAUAAUAUUGGAUACACGAUAAUGCAAGAUAUGAUUUAUUUAUAAUUUAAUUUUUGUUUGAAUAUUGAAGCACGAUUCAUGCACAAAAGAUUAAAAUUAUCUAACACAAUUGUGUUUAUACUCUGGCACCAUGAUGAGAUGGGAUUUAAAUCUCUCCACACAGAAGGAGAGCUUAUAUAUACAAUGCAAAAUAAAAUUACUCAUACAAUCCGCAUGUACUUAAAAAUAGAACUGCAACGAGAGGAAAGUUCUACAACAAAUGGUUUGUUUCUCAACAAAACUUAGUUACAGAGAGGGCCUACUUCGGUUCGAAUUAUCAAGAGGUUGGCACAAGCUUUGACUAGGUUAAUAGUCACAACACUUAAAAUAAAAUCAAUAGGAAAAAAAAUCUUUCAUUGAAUGAAAUAAAUAAAAAUUCUUCCCAAUGUUUUCAGCCCCUGCAAAAUCAGCUCAGACCCUGCAUCUGAAAUACAAGUUCCACGAAAAUCAAGAUGCAAACAUCAUCCAUGUUAAUUCUUUAGAUUAAUUGUUCCUUCUAAAUUAACCAGUUUAAAUUGCCCUAUGUGGUUCUCGAACAAACAAGAAUUUUCUGAACUUUUCAACUCACAUUCUUGAUUCUUUCUAUUCAUCACAGCCUAAUAAAUUAACGAAGGAAAAGAGCAAAUGAAAAACUUCAUGCAUUUUACCCUUUUGGAAGCCUACCUUAAUGCUCAAACUAUAUAUAAUUUUUUUUUUUGAGAUGAAAACUGUUGCUACAAGUCUCCGAUUCGCUAGUGGUGCUGCUGGAGUUGGACGCCAUCUGAAGAUCAAGAUAUCAGAAGGAGCCUACAAUGGAAGUCCACACUCGUCGGAGAUUUUUCGAUAGGAGACUCUCCGAUGCCUAAGUUAGUCGGAGCUUAAGAAUAGUAGAUAAAAGAUAGUGAAAAUGAGGGAGAGAGUAAUGGGGUGCUAUUCUCCUUUCCGAUUGAGCUUAUCUGAAGGUCUCUUUAAUAAUUUUUUAUAUAAAAGUGAAGCUAUACGUAAUUUAAUCAGAAUUUUACGCCGUUAUGCCUAAUCCCUAAGAUCAGUAAGUUACAUUCUAACAAACCGUUAGGAUAGAAAAUCUUCCCACUAUCAUACGAAUUAAAGUUGUUGAACGGUUUCAGAUUUUGUGUAUGUGGGAUGAGCUUGCAGCUCGAGGUGGACAUAAGGUUGAGGUCUCGGGCCAGUACUCAUGUCCGAUUCUAUCGUGUUGGUUUGGAUGCGUCCCAAGGAGGAGGAUAGUUUUGGUCUAUAGGUUACCUCUACAACAAAAACCGCAUAUAAUUUCAUGUUGGCAGCUUUUGGUAUCAAGUGCCUAAAAUUUGGGGCCUUUCCCACCCUCUUCCCGAUCUGCCACACCAGUGAGGCAGACCCUUUCUUCCUACCUCCCGAACGUAUAAAAUAAUAUUCUUGACAGAUGCCUAUUACUAUAUAAGAUAUUGUGAUGUUACUUAUAAUUCUGGAUGCAUGUCCAUACUGGGAUUUAUGAUGUUUUAGAAUUAACAUAUAUCAAAUGUUAGUGCACAUGCAUUCUUUUUUUGUGUAUUUUAAGAGAAAGAAUAUUGCCCUUAUGUAAGUGAUCAGUUUAUUUAUUCAUUUUAUAUGAAAUGUUCUCUAUGGUAUCAUAAAAGAUUUGUCCUCCUUAUAGUCCAUUAUUUUUUAUAGUUGGACCACCAAUCCCAUAGGAUUUUGGGCUCAACCAUCCCAACAAGACUUUAAUGUUUUUGUUGUCUAAAUAAGGAUUCAUCAGUAAGAAAACCUUUAUCAAAUUUGAUGCAGCAGAGGUAGAUUUUGAAAAGCAGAUGGUUUCUAUAAUACAUCAGUUUUUAACUGUCAUGAUGUAGUCGAAUUAAAUUAUCAGAAUUCAUGAUUCAGUUUUCGGACCUUUUCUAAGUUUGUUAGAUUAAUUGGUUGAAUUUUUUUGGAUCUCGCUUUAAAUAGUUUUUUUCUUUUUCCUGGUUGAGUCUUUUUUUUCAGUUGUCCUAUGGCUGAUCCUAAAUAGUAAGGGUCCAAAUUUAGACGUAGACCAGCAGAGCUUAAUAAAUGUCCUAUCUAUAUUUGGGAGCUGUAAGGUCAAUUACAAGUUAAAUUAUAUUGACCUGAUCCACUCUCAUUUAUUAUGUAUUGAAUCUAGGAUAAGCUCACCUCUUUAUAGCCUGCUAUAAAGGGCUGUGCAACUCUUGAUGUCUAUCAUCAUCAGGAGAUAGAUAAUCAUCAAAUGGAACGAUCUACAAGCAUGUAUCAUAUUAUACAUAGAUGGUUGUCUAUUUAAUAAGGACCAUUGAGAGUUGUAUAGCACUCUAUUGUCUCGGAUGAAAGAUGAUGAGGGAACAAGUGACUAAAAAUUCAUUUGAUUUGCAGGAAGAGGUGGGAGGAAGUAUGAAGAAAUGUUUUAUAUUUGAUUGAAAUUUUUAAGGAGAGAUGAAAAAAUAGUAACCUAUAGGAAUAUAAUUUUUAUAUUUUAUGAAAAAAAAAUUCUAUAUAGGACAUCGGAAAAUCCAAUUCCCAUCGUCUAGGAAUUAGGGUAAUUUUUAGAUAAUAUAAGAUAAGAUGUCUCUUUUUAUAAAGGGCAUAACAGGUAGUUUAUAUAAUUUUAUUAAAAAAAUAGAUGCCCAAUCUAAAAUGAACUACCCUGGAAGGUGCCAUUUUUUCCAUCGUCAACCAAACUAUCCCUCUAAUUUAAUUUUAAAAAAAAAAUAGAAAAGAUUCUGAGUGCCCCCGCUUGAUGCCCUGGACCAUUCAUCCAUCUCUCUUCCGCCUUGAUGCCCUAAUUUGGCCCAAUACUCCUUGGUUUCAUUUUGAGGAGGAAAACGAUGGCAGACGAGGACGAGGACACCAACGUUGACCUGCUACUCUUUUCUACCCUCCAUGACGACGAAGACGAAGCCGGAGAAGAAGCCGCACUGGAUGAUGCCGCCGCCCAAUGGACGCCCAAUCAGCAGCACUACCUCCUCAGAUCCAUCGGUGAUACGAUAGUAAUAAGGCAGCUCCCCUACCGGGGCCUCUCCUUCCAGCUCUGGCCCGCCGCCUCCUCCCUCGUUUCCCUCCUCGACCACAACCCCUCCGCCCUCCUCCUCCCCACUUCUCCCUCCCCCAUCCCUCUCCGCAUCCUCGAGCUCGGCUCCGGCACCGGCCUCGUGGGCAUCGCCGCCGCCGCCAUCCUCGGCGCCCACGUCACCCUCACCGACCUCCCCCACGUCCUCCCCAACCUCCGUUUCAACGCCGACUCGAACGCCCACGCCCUCGUCCCCCGCGGCGGCUCCCUCGACGUCCGCCCGCUCAGUUGGGGCGACUCCUUGGACGAUUCGGUGUUCGACGUGGUCGUGGCGUCGGACGUCGUCUACUACGAGCACCUCUUCGACCCACUGUUGCAGACUCUUGAGGUGUUGGUGAGAGGGGAGGUGGCAUUCGUGAUGGGCCAUCUGAGGCGGUGGAAGAAGCGCGACUCCGUCUUCUUCCGAAAGGCCAGGAAGCUGUUCGACGUUGCCGUGCUCCAUACCGACCCUCCGCUGCCUGGCUCUCGGAAUGGGGUCACCAUCUACAGAUUCACGGCUAAGAAACGGGCGGUCAAAGCAUCGCCAGAGAUUUGAAUAUUGUGUUAUUGUUUCUAUUUUGCAAUUAGAUGUUUGGAUGGUAGGGAAAGUAUCCAAAUGGAGGAUCUUCUCUCUCCCAUGUCAAACAAAAAAAAAAAAAAGGUUUAGUAUUCGCUCUUUCUCAUUAAAUGCUUUUUUUUUUUUUUUUGGUUAUGAAAAGGGAUUUUUUUUUUNNNNNNNNNNNNNNNNNNNNGGCUCNCUUUUUUAUGGAUGAGAAGAUAUUUACGUGCAAGAGUAUAUUUAUAGAAAGCAAGGGGAGGAUGUUGCCAAAGGCGUGGUUGGUUUCAGCAACCGUGACACAGAACAAACGGAAGAAAACAGAGACGGCAAGGGCCAAUGCUGAACCUUCACUUUAUCUGGUUUUGAUGUGAGAUGAGAUGGUAGAGCAGGCGUUGAUAAGAAAGCCCAAAGAAAAAAAAUUGACAAAGAAGAGCGAGGGUAGCUGAAUUCUUUUGCUCUAAUUUGUCCGUUCUCCUUUUCAAAUUCCACUUCAGAUCAACUAAAAUACUUCAUUACUCUGAAUUUUCCAGGUGAAGUCUCAGUUUCUCUGGUGCUAUUUUGAAACGGCAACUUCAGAUCAGCUAAUAUCCUUUUCCCUUCGAUGCAGAAUUUAGAUCAGAUAGCUUCCAAAGUCCAGCUUGAAGCAUAUGAUAGUGCAAUUGCAGUACGGAGCACUAAACAUCAUUAGAGAAACAUUUAAACACCAGAUAACCGCUAUAUACCAAAAAAAAAAAACACCAGAUAACUGUGGAGGAAUAUCCUUAACUUUAUUCCAUGCAUUUGUAAAAUCACUGAGGAGAUUUUGACCUCACAAGACUGACCAUCAUUGAAUAAUAUGAGACCUUUCGCUGCUACUGAGAGAAUUGAGUGAUGUUUGUUGAGGAAGAUACUUUCAUUUCUUUCCUUCCAACAUGCCUGAAUUAUUGCUGCAAGCAGCAUAAGAAUAAUGGGUUGGGUUGAUUUGGAGAAGCAUUUGAACCUCCAAUCCAAGCAUAAGUCUUCAAAAGUUGAUUGCAAGAUAAAGAGCUCCAAUUGAUAUGCAAAUAGCCUUCCAAAUAGUGGAGAAAAUAUGGCAUGUUGAGAAGAUAUUUUCUACAUUUUCAUUAGGAUGAUUGAAAAAAAAAAUAUUCACCUAACUUUCUCCCAAGAAUCUUUCUAGUAUGUAGCUUUUUUUGUUUUACCAACACAGCUACAAAAAACAUCUAAGUUGAGAAGAUCUUUCUGUUUUCCAAUUUUCACUUCAGUUGAUCUAAAUUUCGGCUGGGAGUGGCUGAGUGCAAUAGAGCUUGCAUUUGAUUGAAUUCUUCUUGAAUGUAUAUAUAACUGGCAACUGCAGCCUUCUAAUCUGUGGGUCAAUGAUCUAGAAUUGAAAAAAUCAGUGACCAAUUUAUCUUUUUCUUUCGAUUUAUACUGUGCAACUUUGGAAAUAUACUCCUCAGUGAUGCAUCACGUAUCCAAUUAUCUUUCCAGAAAGGAAUACUUUGUCCAUUUCCAAUUUGAAAAGCUACUCCAUUCCAAAAGGCCGGAACCACAUCACAAAGUAGAGCAUCUAUUAAUGGGCUUCCAAGUGGAGGAGAGGUAUAGGCGAAGUGCACAUGCUUCUAAAAUACUGUAUUAUUUGAUAGAUACCUCCAAAACCAUUUGGCCAAGAGAGAUUAAUUUAAUUUUCCAAUGUCUUUUAUCCUAGGCCACCUUUUUGGAGAUAAUUACUUGAAAUACCCGGAGAGUUCAUACAUCCCUUCCACCCAAAAAAAGGAUCUUCCACAUCUGUCCACUUCCCCUACGAUGCAUAUUGGUUGUUUAAAAAUAGACAUGUAGUAAAUAAAGAUAGCAAUGAGCACCGUGUCGAUUAGGGAUAGCCUUCCCCAAAAAGAUAAAUAUUUACCUUUUGCAGCAGCUAUCCUAGCCUCCACUUUCUGCACCAGUGAGAUGCACUCACCUUUUAAAGGUUUUCUUCCAUGGCUCCACAUAGAGGCAUGCCAAGAUAUUGAGACGGGUUUGAGACAAAUAUGAAACUGAGCCAUCAUUAGAUGCAGUUAUUAUGGAAAAAGUAAGUGUUUCUUUUCCAUAAUAUCUCUGAAACUGUUAACUGCUUAAACACAAGAUGAAGUGAAAUUAUACGUUUCUGAUUCACUCCAUUAGAUGCAGUUAUUAUGGACAAAUAGAUGUCUUUCUUUCCUAAAAUAUCUCUGAAACUGCUACCUGAUUAAACACAAAACGAAGUAUAAUGCAAGCUGCAAAAACAGAGGUUUCUUUCUUAUUCUGGAAAUUCUAAAUAGACAAAGACUUCUCAACUGUCUCACUUCUUCACAACAAAAAAAAAUCAGCGAUAAAGGCUCUCAGAUCUGAGAUUCUCGGCAAUCUCUGUUUCCCAUCUGUCCCCAUUUUCCAGCAGCUUCUCCUUGUCAUACAGCAACUCCUGAGAGAUUAUUAGGUAAGUGAGAACUGAUUUUAGUUAGGUCACAGAGUGAGAAAUGAGGGUGGAGGAACAGAAAACACUGAUGCAGGAAUUGGAAAGUUCACCUCAUGAGUUUCAGUAGCAAAUUCAAAGUUCGGACCUUCGACGAUUGCAUCUACAGGACAUGCCUCUUGGCAGAACCCACAGUAGAUGCAUUUUGUCAUGUCAAUAUCAUACCUGGGAAGUAACACCCAAAGCAAUUACAGUUAAGUAAAAUUAGAAAGCACAAAUUUGAUCUCAAGAAUGAAAAAAUGUUUUUGUUAUUGUGGAAUAAAAAGCUUUCAUAUCCCAAUGCAUGUAUUUAAUUUAUUUGGAGCUAUUAGAAUGCGAUCCACUUUUAGGGGAAUAUGAGUCGAAGAAAUAAUAAGAAUAUUUCUAGUGGUACAUUUUUCACAAUCCUAAGAGAUAUAAUUCCGAGGGAUAAGUAAUUCGACUCAUUCACAUAUAGAUCAUGAAUGUCUAGAAUCCGUAUUAUGCAAGGAAACAUCGUUUUUGCUAAUUGAAACUGUGGGAUGAUAUCAAUCGAUCUAUUUUCAGUAUAAUAUAGUAGCUCUAUAUCAAGGUCAUCAUCAAUAUCGUCACUAUUAUCAAUAUCCCUAUCAUCACUAUCAUCCAUAUUGAUAUCAUCAAUAAGAUAACCUUUAUGCUCGUUGCCUAGAAACUUAUUUGGAAUGGAGUAGCCUACUUACCUCGUAGUACGACGGCUGCCAUCUUCUCGUUCCUCUGCUUCAAUUGUGAUUGCUUGUGCUGGGCAUAUCUGGUCAUAACAAUAAUCAUCUUGAAUAAGCAUGCAGGACCCAAAAAAUAAUAUCAUCAUAGAAGGUUGAUGAUAUCAGCCAGCAGGAUAUGCAACGUUCAUAGCAGAUUCCUUCGUUUUAGGUUUCAAGCUAGUCACUGUGUGAAGCAACGACGGUAAGUUUUGCUUGCACACCACAUUGUUGAUUAUCAGAAUACACGUUAUGUUUCCAAGUUCACAUGCAAUAUCUUUAAUCCUCUGUAGAACAUGCAACAUCUUUAACACUUACAGCUUCACAAAGCUUACAAGCAAUGCACCGCUCCUCCCCAGUUGGAUAACGCCGGAGAGCAUGCUCUCCACGGAAACGGGGGCUCAAAGGCCCCUUCUCAAAGGGGUAAUUUAUCUGUGACCAGCAGAUGCAUGGAAACCAAUAAGAAAUGAGAAAUAAGUGAUAUCAUGCAAAUCCAGAAUAUAAGUGACAGAGUGAAUGGUGUGACUUACAGUUACUUUCCUCUCAAAGAAAUAUUUCAGUGUCAGCAUCAACCCACGCACCAUUUCAGUCAGAAAUAACGUAUUUAUGCUUUGCUCAAAAACUGCAGAAAAGCCUCUAUAAAUUAGAUGGGGCUAGCAAGUAUUGCAGAAAAUAAUGCAGACCAGAAAUGCAAAGGCACAUUUUCCACAGAUGAAUAAUGCUGUAACUAAUUAAAAUUCUGCAAGAGAUUACCUGCACUCCAAUCCUUAGCAAUCUCCUUGGCAAGUUGCUCCCUCUCCUCAUCCUCUGCAUGUAAGCAGACAUACGAGUAAACAGUUUGCCCGAUCAAACAACAGUUCUACACAUGCAGGCAUGAACAUCUCAGUGAUCGUCCUAUCAAACAACAGUUUUAUUUACAUAUGCAGACAUCAACAUCUCAGCACAAUCAGUAUGAGAAUCUGAUUGAGCAGCACAAUAGAGCUGGCAGGAACAAACUUUGGUACAAAGGACAUAAAGGGGCAAGAUAUUUGCAAAAGGCACCCCUCCCUCCUCGAUUCUGAAAUAAUUACUAAAUUGGAGCUAAAAGUCCUAAAAUCAUGUCACAGAGCUCAAAGCUCUACAGUCAGCAUUAAGAUACUAAAGCCCUAUUGUCAGCAUUAAGAUACUUUCAAAGUAUAAUGUCAUCAGUCUGAUGGAAUUAACAAGUUUGAGUUCCAGAAAAUAGUCUUCUAGAUCUGCAGCUUCUGUGUUCAGACAAUAGUAACAAUUCCAGAAUUUUAAUGAAAUGUUGGCAGAUGUCAAUUAUCUCGAGUCCUAUGAAAACCUGCACUAUUACCUUUAGAAAAUCUUUAUUAGUGUUGCAUAAAAGCAGAGAUUUUUUUUUUCUUCCUUUUUAAAUUAGUCAAGCCAAUGACACAUGCACAAACUCAUUCUAUUAGCUACAGACUCCUCACAAAGCUGGUUGAUUCACUGGAAAGCUGGGAAUGAGUAGAGGUUUUAGUUAACAAAGACUAGGUUCAAAAUCUUCUCAUAUACAUCAUAAUCCAUUAACAAUUGGAUUCGUUCCAAAUUAUGUGUAUGGCAACUAUAUCCUGAACGAGAACCAGCAAACAGUAUUCCUUUUCUUUAGGUUUGUAAGUGACUAAUUUAAGAAACCAUUUAAACACUUGUAGAGUAAUAGAUCAAAUUUCUUUUCCUUUGGGCAAAAAAUCUGGUGGUGAUAUGCUUAUACUAUACCGCUUUUCUAACGAGUCACUGUUCACUGUUAUCACUACUACAAUUUUCGGGAGAACUGUGGAGAUGGGUUGUAUGUAGCCCUUCAAGUAUUCAGCCAACUGGCUGUUCAUGUUCUGUAGCAGGCUGCGCUGUUGGCCAAAGCUGUCUCGGCAAAGACUAGAAAUAUAUAAAUGACAGAUCCAGUUGAAGCCGGUUAUGGAAGUUCCCAAAUUUUGACAGGUAAUAUUAUGAUCUAUAAAGAUGACUUAUAUAGAUGGUGAAAGCUUGCAGGUUAUGGUAAAUAUACAUGGAUAUGAGUGUUACUAUUCUCAUUAUCAAUUUAUCAUGCCAAUGAACAAUCUCUUUUCAACCAAAGUAUAUGCACCUUAUGUACAAAAAUAUAUAUGUGGAGAUGAGUUUCUAGACAAUCUCACAUGCUGAGAGAUAUGAUCGCAAGGUUGAUAAGCAUCUAACUUGUAAUCAUGGUUGGUAAGUCAUCACACAUUCGAACACUAUAUUCUUAACCCAAAUGUUAUACACCUUGCUUAUGGUGGGCGUGUGAUGCAAAAAACAGCAAUGUAUGCCAGUGAUGAACGUGAUGCUAAAGAUAAACUCAUAAACCUAUUAUAACUUGCCUUGGAACACAUAAAAACACUGAAAAGUAACACAAUCUAUUUCGGAAAAAAGAUUGUUGUGCCAGAAUGGAUAUAUAUAUAUAUACAAGACAAACCUUUAAAUUUCCUAGAAGAUGGCCGUGAGCUGAAUGCUUGCCAAUGGUUCCGUAGAACCAAUGCAGAUUGUCCUGGUUGAACCUACAUAAGAUUGAGAUUUAAUAUUUAUAGUUGGUACACAUGAAAAAAAAAUAUAGCAAAAUAUCAAAAUACCAUAAUUACAGGAAGGAAAAGUUGGAAAUGCACUUUCCUAGAUAAAUACAAUAAUUACAAGAAUGAUCUUUCCCAGCCUUCUUUUCAAACCAUGAAUCAGCCUAGGGAGUUAGCUUAUCCAGAAACCAGUAAAAUAUAAUUUAUACGAAGAGAAAAAUUCAACAAAAGGAAAGAGAGUUUAGAUUACCUUGAUUUCAUUAGAUCUCAGAGCUUCCAAUAAAAUGGAGGAAAGAGAAAAAUAGAAGAGAAGUUUUCCUUCUAAAAAAGGGUUUUUGCAAUAAUCAAAAGAGAGAUCAUUAAUAAAGGAAUCAUUUGGUUUUGGCAAUUGAAACAAUUACCAACUGAAAAUAAGAUAUAUGAGGAAAAUGGAAAAGAGAUGUUAAAGGAGAGAGAAACAGGAAAUAAAAGAUACAAAAGGUCCUUUAAGCUCUCCUGUUAGUGUCAAAACAUCAGGAAAUUCAACCCAGAAAUUGAUCUGGACCAUCAUUGGCUUACUAGAAAAGGUUUUAAACCAUUUUCAAAAUUUUACUGUUUUACAAUUUGCAUAUAAUUGGGGAUUUGGAUCAAGGUUUUAAAUCUCGUAGGACGGAGGUGUCGCAAUUUUCUCCUGAAAUGAGAUGCCCCGCUUCCCGCCCCGUCCCGGUGGCCAUCCCAGUCGAGCGUCCUGGUACACGCUUGGGACAUUCUUUUAUAUAUAUAUAUAUAUAUGUUAUUUUUUUGAAUUUAUCUUGAAGUUUUACUGAUCUAUUUAUUGUUUAAAUAUAUUUGAACUUCUAAGAUAAGACACAGAUAAAUAUGAUUUGUUCGACUUAAAGAAAUAUAUAGGAUAGAAAUCCUGGCCUAAGCAGCAUCUGACCACACGUGAUUAGAUGAGCAUCAAAUGGAGUCAUGAACGUUGAUCAGAGCAACUGCAUGGGGCCUGUGGGUGUGAUGCUCAGUCCAAGAGAAAUCAUGGACUCGAAACAUUUUGAGAGCGAUGUCCUAUGGAUGCAAUCGAAUGGACGAGAUCGAAUGAAUAGCAUCACACAACAUAUGGGAGAAAUCCAUAUUAUGAUUGCAUGCACCAGGUGCAAUUGGACCGCUUCAAAACCCACGAUGGAUAACACGCCACGUUACCCCUUGUAUUUCACCAAUUCCUGAUUGCGCGCUAUCCACCGUGCAUAUGCUUCGGGAUUUGCCCAGCUUCACUUGGACUUGGUGCACAUCAAAUCCCGUGGUGGAUAACACGCCACGCUACCCCUUAUAUUUCACCAAUUCCCGAUUGCGUGCUAUCCACCGUGCAUAUGCUUCGAGAUUUGCCCUGGUUCAUGUGGACUCGGGCACGAGAUCGCGAUCAAACGGAUGGCAUUGGGGAGAAAACUCCAUAUCAGAGCCCGAAGGCCUCGAGCAAGAUUCCUCUUUCCUUCCCCUCCGAUCCUCUCUCCUCCCUCUCGAUUGGCUUGGCUCCUCGUCGAAAAUUCAAUGGCUUCCUUCCUCUCUCUUAUCUCCUCCCUUCUCCUUCUCAAGUUGCCUCCCUCCCGACGUACACUGCUCUUGCAAAACUAGAAUCGAAGGGAGAAGAUCGUGCUCCCUUCGACGACGACGCCGAUGCCAAUACACCAACAGAAAAAGAGGUUAGUACUCCCUGGACCCUUUUUCUUUGUUCUUCUCCCCUCCCGACGAUGAAUAGCCCAUUCACAUUCGACAAUGGAAAAAACAAUUAGGGCAUCACCAGGACGACCGUACUGGUGCCUGAUCCGAUCGGGAUGAAGACAAAACGGCUGGGAUGAAGGUGGGAUGGCUGAGACAGAGGCCGAAAAUAUGUUUCAAGAUCCUGCACCCAUCCCUGUUGUUGGAAUCUCAAAGGAAUGAGACGGGAUGGCCGAGAUGGCCUCCAUCGGGACUUAAAUCCUUGGUUUGGAUGGUAUCUUUCGCGCAAAAGAAUAAUUGAUCUACUUUCGCAAUGUCGAUAAUUGGAUCAUGCUCCGCACAGAUCUUCAAGCACACUGAAAUCCUUCAUUCAUCUGCCUGCACAGAUCUCAGAGCAGUCAUUACAUGAUCCAACAGUGAUUCAUGUGAAGAAAGGUGAAUCCUUCUUUUGCACGAAAGAUACAACUCCUACCCUAUCAUUGGAUAUCUAUUGGCCAAGUUAUGACAGUCUCUUGGAAUCAAAGUUGCACUUGUAAACUGAAACUAGGACAGCACUUCUAUUUUUUUUCUUUUACAAUUUUCCUUUUUUGCAUGCAUACGUGCACUUGUCUAACUGGGAGAAGAGAAGUGCAAUUUGUAUCCCACUCCAGUAGCUGCUAUAUUUUUUGUGAUAAAAGAUAACUAAAAGAGCAAGUCUAUUUGGUUUACAAAGGUAUCCUAGAAUUUGAGGAACUUCAAGACAACUGGAGCCAUUUUUGGGUUUGGCACAAUGCCUCUUUUAUGUGGUUUAGAAGUUAUGUUGAUUCUAAAUUGUGAUAGAUAUAUAUAGCUUUAACAUUUUUGGUAGUGGACCUAAGUCCAGCUAUUUCUUCUGUUGCCAUUUUAAGUUUUCCCCUUCCACUCUCUUACUGAUCUUCUCCCAUUCAUCUGAUUGUAUUAACAAAGCUUACAUACAGACUUUAUUUGUUGAUCCCAUAUGACUUCCUAAUCAGUUUCUCCUCACUUCUAACAAUCAACCCCUGCCCCCCUCCCCCACAAAUUAUAAAAAAAAAAAUAGACCUUGCAUCAACCUCUAAGAAUUCUUGAGGGCAUGAUUUCUCUAAGUGGUACUUUACCACUAGAAGUGACUGUUGCACACACGAAUCCCCUUCUACUCUUCUGUUUAGUUUCAAUCCUUUUCAGCAACCAGACAUCUGUUCUGAUAAAGUUCUUGUUUAUUCUUAAACAAAUCAUAACACAUACAUAUCCCAUGCUAAAACUUGAAAAAAUACAGCAUUGACAGACCAAUCUUAAUAUUUUUUUUCUUUUUCACUUCCAGACACAUUCGAAACCCUUACUUGUACUUGGCCUUUCGCAUGUUAUCAAUAGUGCAUUCAAAGAUGUCUCAUGAUAUGAUCAGGUAACCCUUCAUGUCCAGCCAUUUCUGUUUGUCCCAAUUGCAAAUGAGGAUCCUAUACACCAAUGACUUAAACAAGGUACAAUUAUCUCAAACUGAAACUUAGUUGCAAUGAUGUAUGCCUUAAAUGGAGGCUGACCAUGGCCACAAGGAAAUGUCGACAAAAUACUGAAUGUUCUAGGUUUGGCCAUUCUGGUUGUCAGGUGACUAAAUUGUACCUCCUAAAUUUCUAAUCCAUGGAGAUGCCCUGCACCUAUCCUUGUUAAUCAUGCAUGAUGUAAAUCACAAAAUAUUGAUGGUAGACAAGCAUGCACAAAAAAGGUAAUUUUUCCACCAAUAAAUGCUUCAUAUUUGGACAAUGAUUGACACAAUGUGGGUUCCCAGAAUACAUACAACUUUGUAUACAUGGAUUCAAAAGAAAGAUGCACAAUCAAAUGAGCCAGUUUAAAUGCCUUGCUGUAAAAUGCAACAAGGAGCACUAAUUUUUUAAUAUUUUUAAUAAGAAAGUACAGAGUUAAGGAGCAGAAUAGUCAAUCAACUGAAAUACGUGCACUGGAACACAUAUUUUUAGCUAUAGGAGUCCCCAAAUUGUUUUAGUUGUUGAUAAAUUGAGAUGAUCCACUCAACCAAUACCCUGAUUAGGCAUCAACCAAGUCAGUCAAUUCAGGCAUAUCACCUAAAUACAACAAUUCAAAUUCCAGCUAGACGUCCCACAAGACACUGGGAUGGGGUACCAUCCCAUAUGUCAAGACAAGAUCAUCCUAUUAGCGUUCCAGCGUCCUGACUGAAACAUCCUGUGUCCCAAUUGUCGAAACAGGGCGGGACGAGAUAGCACCACAUCCUGUCCCAUUCCAUGGGAAAGCCGAAACAGCCUCAUCCCACAGGAUUUAAAACCUUACUUGCAUAGUCCUUCUACACACAUAUAUAAUCACAAAAUUGGGCAUAUCACUAGUUGGCCAAGUUAACCAGGCCACUGUGGGUUAAAAUAAAAUGUCGCUACUAGCUCAAGACAGAUAUCAGAGACAAUGGCUUUGGAUAUUAAAGAUAUCUAGAGACUUGCAUGGCAAAUAAACAGAAAUGCUUCUGCUGGCAUUGCAAUUGAUCGCUGUUGCCAAGAUUUUUCUACAAGAGGUUUAAGAAAGCCAAGAAUUUCCCAGCAAAUCAAUGUCCUUGCGAUCACCAACACCACAAUCUCCAAGGCCAAGGCCAAGUUUCUAACACAGUUGCUGUACAUAAACAACUAUUUCCAAGUCCAACAACAGCACUUGGGUGGGUUACAGAUCUAUUAAAUGCCUGAAAAGCUAAGAAGCAGAUUAACCUACUCCAAACAGCCAAGGUCAACCACAAGCUUUUCAUACCAGCAGCCUAGAGAAUCAGUCCUCAAAAUGCCCAUACUGCAAAUACCAAGACCUUCAAAACCUUAUUAAGGUUCAAAAAACAUAUCCCAACAAACAAAGAAGAGUUCCUUGUCCAGAAUCCCCUUCCCUCAGAGGAAGCAGUAUAGCUUUUCAUUAUACCAUUCACGAUGGAUCAGAAAAUCCAGCUAGCAGAGCCUAGACAAACAAGGAUAACAUAGAGGAUUGACACUAGAGUUGGCCCUAGCUUGGUAGGUAGUUUAGCUUCCUAGCUCCAACUCUGUACCUGAUUUAAUCAAUUAGGCCUUUAAAUUUGUUUCUAGGCAUACUUACCCAAAUGGCAGUCCACAACUAGGUCCUGAUUUAGCUAUGUUCCUUAUUUCCAGUUAUUAGGAUAUGAAUAUGUGUUGUCUAUGGUGAAUAAAUAGGGCAGGUCUUAACCUGUACUAGUGGUGACCAUCUAAAAAGGGAGUGACAUGGUGGACCAUGCACUUAAGGAUGCUGGACUGAAGUUAUGCUGGCCUUGUCAUGAAAGGCAGCUAUUGGCAAAGAGUACAAGGACAAGCAGGAAAUCCUAAGACUCAUUGAGGCCUUGAAUAGAGGGUUUCAGACUCAAAGAUGAGGAAACACUUGGUCCCCUAGUCCUUAGACCAAUAGACUAGGACCGUUCAGUGAUCCCUGGAAAAAAUUGUAAAUAAAUGACUGUUACUCGAGUCCAAAAUCCAAAAAUCAGAAAUCCAAUCUUCUGAAUCAAACGCAUCUUAUCUUCAAGGAAAUCCAAAUGAAUUAUAUCGAACACUCCUUUCCGUGUUAACCUUGACCCCAGCCAUCUGAGAGACGGGCCUUCUCCAUGAAAUACUUUUAAUUUUUUGAGCCAUAUAGAUGCCAAAUCAAUAUGCUCUUAUCGUGGGCAAGGUUGGAUUAUCUCCAACCUUGAUCUGUUUAGCAGAAGAUAGUCCUAUUGAUCUGUAUAUAAAUAAAUCAAAGAAUAAACAAGAAAAGAAGCAACAAGAUAAGGAGCAAUUUCAAGCACAAAAAAUUUGAAAAUCUAGGAUUCCAAAAAGGCUAAUCACAAACAAAUUCUAACAUAAAAUGUUGAAAAAAAAUCAAUUUCUAGCAUAUCUUCAACGUUCACCCAAAUUCAAUCACACCACCCACGCCAAUCAAAAUAAAUUUCAGAAACUUUCGAGUAUAGCUUCGUAAAUCUUCAACGCCGAUCAAAAUAAAUUCUAAUAGAAAUGAGAAAAAUCUAAAAAAAAAAAUAGAAACCAACCACAAAAAGUAGACCCAAGAUUUCAGGAAACAAAACCGAACGCUGGCGUUUUUCUUCAAAAAGAAUAAGAGAUUCGCUUCCAUAAACGACGAAAUAACUCCGAUCGUCCGACGAAAUCGGCCUUGGAUGCGAGAAACGUGCGAACAGCAUACGGUAGGAGAAGAGAUAUGGGAUCUGAGAUCUUACCGAUUGCCUGCCCCGAAAAGCUUGGAGGGUUUGCCGAGCUAAGAUCCCCGCCAUGGAGGGAGGCAGACGGGUCGAGGCUUCGAGAGGGCGGAGCGUUUCAGGAUGGAAGACGAGCGGAAGUGGUAAAAGGCGGAGUGUGAGACCCGGUGCGAUUGGACUCGGGUCGGGGCGUGACACAAAGCAACGGGAAUAUACCGUUGAUGAAUCGUACUGUUCCUGAAUUUCAAUUUGGCUCUGUUGUUGCCGAGCUCGAGUAAUCGAAUCCAGUUCAAGUAAUUUUUCAAAUCAAGCUUAAAUACGGUUUGAAAGUUCGUAAAUCUAUUUAAAUUUUUAUAUAUUUUUUAUAAUAUUAUUUUUAUUUAUAAAUAUAUAUAUAUUAAUAUAUAUUAUUAAUAAAUUAAAAUUCGAUUUCGAACUUGAAUAUGGUUCGAUUAAUAUUCGAACCAAAUUGAAUUGAUGUCAAAUUUUAUCUAUUUUUCAUUGAGCCGAGCUCAGACUCGAGCUUAAGAUAUUAAGAUUUGAUCGAUCUCAAAUCGAAUUUUGAGUUCGAGUAUUUUGAGUCAAAUCGAGCUCAAACUUCCAACUAUUUGACUUGACUCGACUCGAUUGUAUCCCUAGUCCCGACAGACUACUAAAAUAGAAAGCAAGCCAUUCAUUCCACCUUGCAAAAAGCUAAUUGAUGGCUCUAGGACCGGAUAUAAAGGUUAAGCAUCCCACCUCCUCUUUUUUUUUUUAACCAAAUCAUUUCGUACAAUCCUAAUAUGAAUACUUUCAAAAAAAAUAGAAAAUAAAAUAUCUCAGAACACUCUCCAAGCAGUCACAAAAAUCCAUAACAUCUCUUUGGAACAAUCAACGGCAAACGAGGUCACCCAAUCAGUCAUCCCGUUCAUCUAUGGAUAAAUAUAUCUCAUAUUGAAAGCUGUGCACUCUCUUACUAAAUGCCAAAGAUUUUGUAAAAGAAAGUGUCACUAGUCCACUUGCUCUAACUGUUAACCCAUCCAGUCACAAUAGCAGAGUCAUCUUUCACAAAGAUGUAGUCCACUCUCAAAACUCGUCGGGCACAAUGGAUACCCUCUCAGGAAACCCUCAAUUUUGUUCCUGAAACUGAAGUGUUGUAGAUCAAACUCCCCCUAUAACCAAAAGUCUAGAAUCUGAACCUCAUAUUUUAAUUCUCACUCCACCUCUAUGCCCCUCUCAAUCAUGUUGCCAUCAAAAUUAACCUUAAGAAAACUCAGCAAUGGAGGCCGCUAGUGGAAAAAAUCAUUUGGAGCACUACACAAGCAGUUAGGGGGUCCCAAAUAUCUCGAGAUGUCAAAAACUCUCCAAUAUCGUGCGAGUGAAAAAUCUCCACAAUUUGAAUCAAGACUCUCUCCACUGUGACAUCAGUGGUUGAGUGUUUCUCUCAAAAAUCCAAGAAUUCCUAACCAACCAAAUAUGAUAAGUAAUAUAAACUCCCUUGAUUGCUGUCAUCAUUAACUGCGAUCUGGUGGCACUACUUCUCAACUAUACUAAGAACAAAUUUACAGGAGCCUCAUAGUGAAGAAUCUCCUAGAAGGCGUCCAUCAAUCUCUAGACCUGCACUACCUUCUCAUAGUGAAAGAGACUGUGCUCAAUAGACUCCUCCGCAUCACCACAUAUGUAAGCUGGGGAGAUGUCCAUCCCCCUCCUCUUCAAAACCCCUUGGUUAGAAGAUGACUCCAAGCCACCUUUUAAAUAAAUAAAGCAACCCUCGGAUGGAUACCUAACCUUCAGAUCCACAUGGCAUUUCUCCUCUACACCGGCUUGCCUCUAAAGAGGUCAUACAAAUCCUUGAUCCUCACCCUCAAGCUAGAAUUGGAUCUCUAAAUCCAUAUGUCGGAAUGACAUAUCACCAAACUGCAAUCACUCAGCCAACUACUCCCUGAAAUGCUAGGUGACCAAAGUAGUGUCCCACCUUCUAUCAGGCAAUAGGGGAUUACUGACCCGCAAUCUAUCGAUAAUGCUCACAUCAACCAUCAUCAGCCACUAAGUCAACAAAAGGUCAACCACCCAAGCAUCCCUCAUCACAUCAACUCUCAUCCAUCACUAAUCAUCCAUUGUAUUCACCAUCACCAAUGGAGAGUGCACACAAAUCUCCCUUUAUAUGAACCAACAGUGCCGACUAUCUUAGAUAUCCACCUUCGAUGUCCACAAGUCAUACUUGGCGCUCAUCACCAUGCUCCAUAAGCUCUUAGGCUCUAACAAAAAUAUAACAACAUAUCUGACAAUCAGAGCCUCUCUCUUGACUAGCAGCGACUUGAUACCUAAAUCUCUCUCUCGCAUUAGCUAACAAAUGGAGCUCUAUGCUAAUAAGUGCACCCCAUGUCCAUAACUAUGUGAGCCCCAUAGAAAGCUCAGGAACAUUUACUUCUAGUAUGAAUAUUUUCAAAAAAUUCAAAAAAUCAAAAUAUUUCAAAAUACUCUAAGAGCAAAGUGACAAGCAAUCCAUAUUGCUUCUCCAUAAUGAUUAGUGGUGAAUAAAGCCACCUAGUUUUCCAUCCCGUUCACCUCUCGAUAUAUAUGUCUCACAGUGAAAGCCAUGCACUGUCUCACUAAAUGCCAAAUAUCUUAUAAAAGGAGGUGAUCACUAGUCCUCCUGCUAUAACUCUGCACCAAUCCAAUCAUAGUAGUAGUUAUCCUUUAAAAAGAUGCAGUUUGCUCUCAAAACUCAUCAAACAUGGUAGACGCCCUUUCAGGCAGCCCUCAAUUCCAUCUUUAGUGCUGAAGUGCUAUAGAUCGGAUCCUCUCUGGCUAUCGAAAUUCUAGAAUCCAAAUCUCAUAUUAUAAAUCCCAUUCCACCUUUGCUACCCCUCUCCAUCAUGCUUCCAUCAAAGUUAACCUUGAGAAAACUCAAGAGAAGGGCCUCUUAGAUGAAGAAGAUCAUCUAGGGCACUACACAAGCAAUAAGGAAGUCCCAGGUUAUCCCAGUUGUCAAAAUCUUUCCAAUGUCAUGUGAGGAGGAAAUCUUCUUGGCUCGAAUCAAAGUGCUCACGACUAUGAACCCUGGCGACUAAUAGUUGCCCUCAAAGAUCCAAGUAUUCCUAGCCAACCAAAUACAACCAUCCUAGACUAUAGCCUAGUAGCAUUGCUCCACAGUUAUACUAAGAACAAAUCCAUAGGAGUAAAAGUGAAGAACCUCUUUUUCCAACCUCUACACCUGCAUUGCCCUCUCAUAUUGAAAGAGGGUGUGCUCAGUAGACUCCACACCACCACAUAGGCAAGCCAAAGGGAUGUCCAUCCCUCCUACUCAGAACCAACUUGGUUGAAAGGCGACCUCCAACCACCUUCCAAAUAAACAAGGUAACCCUUGGAUGGAUACCAGUCUCCAGAUCCAUGGGGCAUCUCUCCUUUAUGCUGGCUCACCUUUGAAGAAGUCAUACAAAUCCUUGAUCCUCAUCCUGGAGCUAGAAUUGGAUCUCCAAAUCCACACAUCGGGGGUGACAUAUUGUAGAACUACAAUCACUCGAAUCUACUUAGCCAACUGCUCCCUAAAAGGCUAAAUGACUAAGUAGUGUCCUACCUCCUAUCAAACAAUAGGAGAUCCCUAAACCACAAUCCAUCCAUAAUCCCCACAUCAACCAUGGUCGGCCACUGACUCAAUAUAAGGUCAACAACCCAAGCAUCUCUCAUCACAUAUACACUCCAUCCAUCACCAAUCAUCCAUUGUGUGUUCACCAUCAUCAACGAAGACCGUGCAUAGAUCUCCCUCCAAAUGAACGAAUGGUGCUGACUAGCCUGGUUAUCUGCCUCCAAUGUCCACAGGCCAUACUUGGCUCUCAUCAUCAUGCUCCACAAGCUUUUAGGCUCUAACAAAAAUCUAGUAGCAUUUAUGGUAAUCAGAGUCUCUCUUUUGACUAGUAACGACUGGAUACCCAUAUUGGAUGUAUGCCCUAUAAGCCAGAUUGACUGACAUUUGUAAAAUAUUUUUAGGACAUAAUUUAUAAUUUAAUUUUAAAUAUUACUAAAAAUUAGAUUAUUUUUAUUCACAUUGUAUUUAAAGUAUCUGUGAAUCGUUCAUUGGAUUAAUGGAUAAAAUAACACAUAUUUUCAAGAGUUGAGAAUUUAAGAUACGUGCUAAUCUUAGUUAACUCAUAAAUAGCUCUCGAUCAUAGGAUCAUUAUGGAGAUGAUAAUCGAUUCAAAAGAUUGAUGUAUGAUCAUUUUCUUCAGAUAAAUGAGUCUUGAAUCUACGGUGUAGAGAUAUCAGAGUGAAAGUACAUGUGCUUGUUAAGAACAAAGGUACUGAAUGUGAUCAAUCACGAAUAGUGACAAGAAUUUUUACCUUCUCAUCAGUGACUUAUUUAUAGCUACAAUUGUGUGAAUUAGUUCUCUAACCUGAGGUGCAUUGAUAGUUUAACUUGAGCGUGCUGUAGUUUAACUAUACUAUAACUCGAUCUCUUAGCCAUACGAAAUCUUGAGAUAUAUGUUGAUUGCAAUAUGUUCAUUGUAGAAAUUGGAUUGCACCAAGAUGGGAUCUAUCAACCUCGGUAGAGGAGGAGUAGUCUUUUGUAGAUCAUGAGAUUGAGUCCUUAAGCCCAUGGUCAUGGUAACGUGAAAGAUAAAAAAGAAUUUCUAUUGGAUUUCAUAUCAAACUUGAAUCGAUUGAUUUUGUCAUAUGACAGGUAUGAGGUUUGAUGAGUUAACCUUGAUCUUGAUCCUGUCGAAAUUCAUGAUAGAAGAACCAAGUCAUAUAGUAACUGCACCUAGAGGUUUAUCUUUUAGUUUUACUGAAUUAUCACUACAUACUGCUAGGUAUCACUGAUGGAUUGUGGGACCAAUUAAAAUUAUUUCGAUGAUCGAUAAUUUUAAUUAGAUGAAUUGAAAAGAAUUUCAGUCUAUCGAAAAAAGUUUCAAUGAUAUUGAUGAUAAAGAUCACAAUAUAUCUCACUACCGACAGAAUUGGAUCUAUGGGGUCACACAAACAAGGGUAUUGGUCUAUGAUUGCACAAUUGGGCUAAGUGUAGUCUGAUUGGGUUAGGAUCAGUUUUUGAGUCCUAGCUUUGGAUUUAAGAAAACAUGCUAGCACAUGGUUAAACCUAUUUUCUCCUCCUUAAUUUGGAUCAUAUUAGAUAGGAUUUAAUCAAUUUGGUGCAAGCUCAAAUUGGGUUCCAAAUGUUGACUCACCCAGAUUUGAAUUUGACCUAAUUAGAUUAGGUUUGUGAGGGUGCCAAAUAUUGGCGCCACCCAAUAUUGUUUAGCCAAGUGGAGGGGCGCACCCACAUGGAGUGGAUCCAUAUGUGUGUCACCCAAAUCAGAUAAGGGAGGGAGAAAGAAAUGGAUAAGAAUGAAAUCUCAUUUGAAUUCGAAUUUGAUUCGAAUUCAAGUUUGAAUUCAAACGGAUUGAAUUCAAAUUUGAGAAAUUUAUUUUAGGAUUUGUUUUAGGGUGACAACAACCAAAUAGGAUCUGAUUUUGGUCGACCAAAAAUGUGGAGAAAAGGGUGGGGGUGGGAGCUAUUUGGUUAUGGGAGUUUUGAUGUGAUCAAGCUCUAUAUAAUGGCUACAUUAUCACCCGAUUAAAAGUUAGUGCUAAUCUGAAUAUUUUCCACAUCUCCAUGCUAUUUCCUUAUCCUCUCUCUAUUCUAUAUCCUUCUUCCAUGUCCAAGGGUGUUGGAUGAGCCAUCUAGUGGGUUCGAGGUGUUGAACACCAUCAGUUUUAUGUGAAGAAUUAAAAAGGCUGCAAUCAGGGGGUGAUCGGAGUUCUGUCGGAGAUCGAAUCAAAGACAGAUCAAGAGCUUGCAAAUCCAUCUAGGAGUAGGCAGAUUGAUCAAGAAAAAAGUAUUCUAAAUUGAGUUUGAGUGCAUACUUAUAGAGGUCAGAUACGUGCGUGGCUCCACAACGAACCUCAGAGAUCAUCGGAUCAUCAAUCGUGCAGAUCGUCAACCCACGUAAGGUGACGAGUAUUGUUCUAAUUUAUAUUUUUACAUGCUAAAUUUUGACUAAUGAUCUGUCUUUUUUAACUAUGUUUCAGAUACCAGAUCGAAAAAAAUUUUGAAUUCCGCUGUGCUAAUUUGAUCAACCCAUAGAGUGAUCCGCAAAUUUUAACUAAUAUCAGAGUCAGAUUGAGGUCUAAAAAAUAGAUCAAAAUCAGAUCUGAUGUAGUCAACAGAUCUAAAGUAGUUUAGAUUUAUUUUUCAGCAUGUAUUAGCUAGAUCUAAUAUAGUCCUUAUAUAUGUGAUAUGUAUCGAACUAUAUUUUACAUAUAUGAUAUGUAGUAGAUUAGAUUUAGUUAAUUUUCAAAUAGUCAAGUACUCCAAUUGAAUUUAUCACCAGGUCUGUUCGAUCAUAAGAGGAAGUAGAGAUUAAGUCUCUCUCUCUCUUGUCCAUUCAAAAAGGUUUUCUUAUAGUGUGUAGGGGUGCCACAUGGUUACAUCCCAUGAGGAAGAAAAAUGAAAGGAAAGAACUUAAUUUUCUACUAAACCCUAGAUUUGAAACCCUAGGUUUGACUGAUUGUGAUACAUGAUUAGUUGUUUAGAUCUGAAAAAGAUUUUCAAAUCUAAAUUAGAAUUGUUUUUGUGAUGCAUGCAUGAUCUAAAAAUAUCAAACAUAUGACAGAGUUUUUGUUUGGCCUGUGGAGUUGACUCGAGUCCCUGACGAGCCAACUCCUUUUUCAUCGAAGUUGACUCAAGAGAUUAUGGAGCCGGCUCAAUUUGCAUCCGAGCCAACUCAAGUUUUGCAGGCUAGAAACAGGGUUUCUAUUCGUCACAAAGAGCCGACUCGAUCUCUAAUCCAAGCCGACUCACUGUGAUGAGUCGACUCGAGUCCAAGACGAGUCGACUCGAGGGUAAGUAGAAAAUUUUUAAAUUUUUGUAUGAGAUACAAAACUUAAUUAAUUUGGAUUCAAAAUUAUUUUGACAUCUGAAUUAGAUCUAUGAACUUAAUUAGGAAUUAAAGGUGAAAUUAAAAGAUAUAAUUGGGAAUUCAAAUCUCAUACAAUUUCAUAAAUCUAUAGAGGAUUUAUGAAAAACAAAGCUUCAACUCAGUAGAUGAAAAACAAAGAAAUAGAAUAAGAAAAAAUCUAAAGAGGAUUUAGAAGAGAAUAGAAGAGUUUGGGAGAAGAGUGUUAGAAAAUAUAUCCUAAAGCCAAUUAUUUGGAUGAUUGUGCUCUUUAUAAUUUGUAUAUAAAUUAUGAAUAAAUAAAAAUUAUUUUAAUAUUUUUAUCAUAAAUUAUAUAUCUUUCUUAUUAGGUAGGACUCUUGUGUUGUGAUGAAAUCCUUAAAAUUAUAUGACAAUCGAUAAAAGAAGAGUUAUCGAAUAGUUCUUAAAUAUGGUCGCGACCAAAUGAUACAUCAUUAAAAGACGAUGACGUUCAUCAAGUGUAGGUUAUUGUUUGUCAUAUAGGUGAUUGUCUUCUUAACCAAAAAGUGUGAAGAUACUGAUAUGACAUACAGGUGAUAUAUAGGAGUACAUCGUCACAGAACAAGUGACUCACUUAUGGAGCACUCUGCUGUUAAGAGCAGCUCGCAAAGUAUAUGGAUAUAAGUAUCCCUCAGAUCUGAGAUCACCAUAGUGACUUACAAAUAACUCACUGUGCUUUGAUACUGGACUACCUGCAUUUCUAAUACAGUGACGAAAAGAUAUUAGGUACAGUCAAGUACUUACGAAGUCUAUGUGUGGAUCAAGUGAGAUUGAUCCUUCUGGAUUAUAGGAGUUAAUACAUCACUGUAUUUUAAUUUAAUAAAAUCUGGAUCUGGAUAAUCCAUGUGAUGGAUGUAAAAGGUUGAAAUACAAUGUGGAUGACUCAUUCAGGGUUGACAAUUAAAUCCUAGGUCAUCCUCGAGUAUUCGAGGUCACAUGAAUGAAUUAUCUGGUAACCAUAUGCGUAGAUAUUUGAAUAUUAUUUUAUAAAUAUUCGACCUAUUCGAACGUAGGAAAUCAUUACUAGAUGAUAAUUUUGAUUAGUACAAAAAAUUAUUCCUAUGCUACUAGCUUUGUGUUUGAAUCUAUGGAGUCACACACAAAGUCAAACGAUGUAGGAAAGAAGUGACCUAAGUCUAUAAGUUCAAUUUAAAAGUACUUGACUUGAUUGAAUGGAUAGAUUAGCUUAAUUAAACAUUAAGUUAGAGAUCAUAUGGAAUUAAACAGUUGACUAUGUCUAGCUAGCACUAGACAUGAGGUUCAGGUUUAAUUUCAGAGAUGAUGAUGUUCUGAUCAAUAAUCUAAGAGAUUUAUGAGAGAUUGAAUUCAAGUACUAAUUAAUUUUAGAUUAGAUCUGAUUUAGUUAGACUUGAAUUGGGUUAAAAAUUUAGAUUAGACUUGGACCAAAAUUUUAAUUAGAUUGGGAUUGAUAAGCUCUUCGAAUCUGGUUUGAAUCGGAUCCAAUUUGAAUCAAAUCUGAUGUCAUUUGGUUUAGAACCAAAGAGUCCCAUGUACCUGAGACUCUCUCUCAUGAGAGCCGACUAAGAAAGGAGAGAGCACCAAAAUUUCUCUGCCCCAUAUGGGGGCAUGCAUGAAGGUGUUCCAUGAAGAAGUUUUGGCUAGUCUCCUUUCAUAAGUAGGAUUCCUUUUUGGACAAAGGUUUGAAUCCUAACUAACUUAGGACAUUAAUUAAUUUUGGGAUGCCACAUCUAUUUAAGAGGGGACCACUUAACAACCGGAGGUUAUGAGAAGUCUUGUGUGACAAAUAAAAAUAAUCAUUGGUAGAGAGUGUUGUGCGACAACAAAAGGAAGUCGAUCCCUUCUUUCUGGCAUGUAGGAUUUCUUGGCGCCUUGGUUGAAGGCAUAAGGAUCCAAUCUCAAGCAUCCCUAAGGAGAGGAAAUCAGAUCUCCUUCCUUCCCUUGCUUCACUUCUGAAGAUUGAUGUGCAGGGCUUCAUCCUGCUUCUCUACGAAGCUUAACGUGCAUGCAAUAUAGAGGGCUUGUGCUUUCAGGCCUCGCGAGGUAUCAGAUUCGAAUUGCCUUAGAGAUUUUGAUCUCUAUUCCGCUACAUAUCAGGUAAUAUAAAAUUUAUGUUAGCUUAUUAUAGAAAAAAAAUUUAGAUGUACUUUGACGAUCCGAUCAGAUUGGAUAAUUUUUUUUUUAAAGAGAGAGUAAGAUUUUUUUUGCAUCCUUCAACCCAUACCAAGAGCUCAAUUUAUAGGCCCAAAAGCCAUUUGGGCUAUUAAAUGGUAAAAAUAAUUAAACAUGUAUUAACAGACCAAUGAAUAGAAAACAAACGGAUAAAAUAUUAAUCACCCAAUGGGCAAAAUAUUAAUCGGAUAAUUAAUAUUAAAAUAUAAUAUUUAUUUUUAAAUAAAUAAAAAAAUGAUAGCAAAUGGUCAUAAAAGAGAAAAUAAGUGGAUGAAAAAAAAACUUUCCCCACCCUACUGCAGUUGCAGAUAGGUACUGUGCGAUUGUGCCAAUGUAUGAUUUGAUUCAAAAUUUUUUAAAUUUUUGACAAAAUUGAUGAGAAAAAAUUUUAAUAUAAUUUUUUUUUAAAAUUUUUUCCUAUGUAACGAAACUAAACAAAAUAGAAUUAGAGAUUUAAUUGAGAAUUGAUUAAAAAAAAUUUUAAAUUUUCAAUUCAUUUCAAAAUACUAAUAAAAUUAAUAUUUACAAGUAAUGUAAGUCAAGUAGAAAUCUCGGCCAAUGAACUGGUGGGACCGAUUGUUUCUUUUUGCAACCAAACGAACGGACAAUGGAGUCAAAUACCAACCCAACCAAAUGGAGCUUGUUUUCAUGUUGCUCUAAGGAGAAAUUCUUUGUACAUCAUGGGCAGCAUAAAUAAUCCAUCAUGGAGUGCACCGUCUCAUCUGAUUAGUCCAUAUAGUCACUACUUUCUAACGCGUAUUUAAUGUCUGCAGAUUGAUUUUUUUGUUUAAAAUUUUUUGUAUGAUGAAAAUAUUUUUAUCUUUUAAAAAAAUUAUGAUAUCCUAUGAUGUAAUAUAAUUCAGGAUAUCCUGAUAUGGUUUAAGAUAUCAUAAUAUGAGAGGAGCAUUUUUAUCCAACUACUUUCUGUAGAUCAAUUUUUUUGUUUGAAAAUUUUGAGUGAUAAAAAUAUCUCUAUUCUUUAAAAAAAAAUUAUGAGAUCCAGUAUAUAUAAAAUAUUAUAAUAUAAAUAUAAAAUAUUAUAAUUUUUUUAAAAAUUAAAAUAUUUUUAUUAUAUAAAAUUUUAAAUAAAAAAUUAAUUUAUAAAUAUUAAAUAUAUAUUAAAAAAUGCGCAAGGAAGUGCACUCCGUAUCGGAUUUUCUACACCGCCCCGGUGCGCAAGGAAUUUCGCUUGCCACAAGUAUUGCUUGCUGCAAAUGGUGACAAAUACCAGCCCAAAAAUGCGGAAAAAACAAAAAAACGAAAGAAACCGCGAAGCAGCAUCAGUGGUCGCCAUGGGAGGAGGACGAGGAGUUGAUGUUAUCCACUCCUGCCCCAUUCGACCUCCUCCGUCGCGGCGGUGCCCCGCCAAAAACCCCCUUCCAUCCAAAGACGCGAACCCCAGAGAGCUCCAAAUCACACAUACCCCUCUUUGCUCAAAAGCUCCUCGUCGAGACGCCCUUCUACUUUUCGCCCUCCCCGCUCUCCUUCCCUCCCUCGCGGACUCCUCCUCCGCCGCCGCCUUCUCUCUUGGCAUUCGUACGCCUCUUCCACUCCCUCUUCACCGGCAAUCCGACAUUGAUUUUUUGUGUUCUCAUUUAUUUGUUUAUUGCUAUAAAUGAAGCGGGGCCCAAGGAUUGGCUGAGAGAUCAGAAGAAGAAGGCGGCCAGGUUCAUCUUGGCCCCAAUCGAAGACUCCCGCGAGAGCCUCCGCAAUGCUUAUCUCUUGCUCUGUACUCUCCCUCACUUGUUCUUUUCUUUCUUUCCCUUCUUUCCCCUUUGCCCCCUUUUUUUGCUACCUUUUGGUCCAAUUGUUAGAUUCUUGAACGCAGCAUCGGAAGCCGGAUCUCCGGUGGAGGAUUCUGGAGAGGUUCGGAGGCUACUGAACUUGGCGGUGAAGGAUUGUGUUCCACAGCGGAGGAGUUCCCUUGUCGAAUUCCAAUCCCGAACUGGAGUGGAGGUGUGAAUUCAGUUGUUUUAUUUACUGUGGUAGAAGGAAAUGGACAGUGAUGACAUCUAGAAACUAUGUUGAUGUUUUGUUGUAGGAACCGAAUAUGUCUUGUUAAGUUAAUGUUUUGACAGUGGGAAAGUUUGUUUAGAAAUUGAUGUCAUGCAGGUGUGCACAUUCCGUUUGCUUGUGAAGAAUGCGGCUUCUUUGCUUGAUAAAGGCGAUCCGGUAAAAUUGGAUGUAGAGGCUAUGCUCAAUGAUCUUAUAAGGUAGCUGAAUUUGUCCUGUAUUAAUAUUGAUCAUAAAUUGCUAGAAAAAAGACAAACUUACUUGUUGUUAAACAGGGAUUGAAUUCUUUGGUCAUGAAUUGGAUUGAAGUAGAUGAUGUGGAAGAAGUAAUGACAUUAAGCAUAUUGAUUUUGGAAAUUGAAUUUCAAAAUGAGUACACAUGUGCUAUGGAGAACAUAAUUGUAAACUUCUAAUAGAUGAGAAAAUGACAAAAAGUUAAUUGCGACGAUAAACAUAGUUUUUUAAAAAACGUGACUCAUGAAUUACUUAUCCGGUCCAUUUUGCAUAAUCUGAUUGAUCUCUAUUUGAAUUUAUGUAAAUUUCAUAUUUUCUACACUACUUCCAGAAUGCAAUUAUCACAUAGGCAACCAUGUCAUAAGACUAUUGAUAAAUCAAACAAGGUAUUUGGUCCAAAUUUUGCCUCAAGUAGAACUGCAACUAUGUUGUUUUGUGGUCCAACCUUGUGCAACAUAGCAUCUAUUAUUUCCAUCAAUAAUAAUUAAUAACAUCAGACUUUUAUGAAGUGGAAACUAGAACUUAUCCUUUUCCCUUUAUCAUUUUAACAUGUAACUAACAUGCCUUCAUAGUCAUCAGAAUUAAUGAUUUUAGUUAAGCCCUUAAUGGUCUGGGAGGCAAGCAUUAUAUUUAGUGUUCAGAUGAACUUACAGUGAUAAUCUAGCUUGUUCUUGUACAUCUCUAUGUUAAAUUAUAUUAUCAUAAAUGUUAUCUUUAUAUCUCUGUCAUUGCAGAUCAUUUUCCUUGCUUGGCAGUGUCAUUGACAGCAGCAACUUCGAGUUCACAACUGAUAGGUAUGUCAUGUUUCCAAAUGAAUAGAACCACUGUUUACAUUUUUGCUUCUGAGGAAUCAGUCAUCGAUGGUCCUGUCUGGAUCAUAUUAGUAAUUUAGUGUAUAGCAUUAACAAGCAUGACAACUCUGCCACAACUUGGCUUGUGGAAGGCACCAGCAUCAUAAGAUGAGUUCACUUGGUCGAUUUUAAAUUUAAAUCUUUUGUUGAUUCCUGAUUGAUUGUAAUCCUUCUAGCACGUUUAGCUUUUCUGGUAUUUCAUGCAUGCUCACAGAUACUGCUAUUACAUCAUGCAUUUCCCCCUCCUGUGUUCCCUCUCAUGCUACAAGUUGUUUUCUAGACGAAUGUAUUUAUUAGCUUCGAAUUCAUAGUCAGCUUAUGAUUUAUUUCUGAACUUUCUGCCUUAAAAAGAUGGAUUCAUAUGUAUAAACAUUUUCUGUGCUGCAGACAAAAGGUGAAAGAUGGGUUAAUGGAUACAAUUUCUUCACUUGAUAGAUUUGAGCAGGGAAUUAAGAACUGCUUAGGCGUCUGAUCAUUGCAUAAUUGAGACUCAUCUAUGGUGCCUUGCGUGCUCAGUUUUAUUUUUGUCUGUCAGGGGUCAACCUUGUAAAGUUUCAGGAUAUGGUGCUAGCUGCAUCAAAUCAGUUUCUCCAUCAGACCUAAUCUUCUCUGCCUUCUGCACCAAGCAAGCUCAAUAUGCUCCAAUUGGUCUUGUCUAAUUUUUUAUUUUAUUUUGUUUUGUUCCUGGCAAAUUUUAUACUAGUAUUGUAGAAUGUCUAUUUUUGUUAAAAUUCUCAUAUAUGACUGUCCCCUUUAUUCUGAUGAAUGAUGAGAUUUGUUGAAGACGUCUCUGCUGUGCUUUUCAAGUCAAAGUACCAAGAAGAUUUGGCAACCUUCUUUGUGAAAGAUAUUGUAAUUACUUUGGCUUGUGUGCUAGUUGUUCAACGUUAUGAGUUUUUGAUUCUAGUUUUGGUAGUGUGUGAAAUUGGUUUUUCUUUUCCUUUCAUCAUGACAACAUAUUGUGUAUAAACUAAAAGCCACGGACUAUGCUUUCAAUGUGAAUGAGAGGUUAACACGUGGAAUAUUUUCUCUAAAAGGAAACCAAGAGGGAAAAGAUGAUAUAUCUAUAUUAUAAAGAUGUGCCAAUUUGGUACUUCUUUCAUAUUACAAAGAAACCUGCUUUUUUUCCAAAAAGAAAGGUUGACCUUAUGUAAGACUAGAUGUGCAGAAUUGUGUUGAAUGUUAAUCUUUUCCAUAGGUCAAUGGCAUAUUUUGCUUGAUCUUGUACCCUUGACCUGACAGGCAAAUGUCCUACAAGGCUACAACAAUGUUUCAUGCUAAAUGGUCUUGAACAAUAUUGUAGCUGCAAUAUUCCUCAGAGUUUCUUGUUGCAAGAAUGCUCUAUUGAAUCACAAGAUAGGUCUCUGGUCUUUCACAAGGCCACACCAAAUGGGACAAGCAUGAGGAAAAAAAUGUAAGGUACACGAAGAAAUUUUUUGCCUUUCCUUGGAAAUUGGAAUUUUAUUUGUUUGAGUUGUGAAUAUAGCAUAAGCAGUGAUAAGGGGAAAGGUCAAUACAAAAUUCCUACAGAUGGAAUUGAUGUGAAGCAGAUAAUAAUUGCAGUAUGUGCAUUUUCACAAUCCUGAUGGAGUUGGGAUGUAGGUUCAAGGAUAUGAAUUAUAAUACUUAGUGAUGUAAAGAUCAUGGGUGUUAGGCUGGUAUUUAUUUAGGACAAAGGAAGAUAAUUUUCUUGUGGCAUGUGUGCUUUUGGUUGGACAUGAGAAAAGAAUAGAGGGGUCAUUCAAGCAUGACAAAAGCACAAAAGAAAUAGGAAUUCUACUAGUCCUGCUUGAGCAUGUAGUGAGAGAUGAUGGCAAGGUUUGACGUACCGGUUGGUAUCAAUACAUGCCAACCGUAUCAUACCGUACUAGUACCAAAGCAAUAUGUGGUACAGGGGGCAUAGUAACACUAGACUGUAAUAGAUUGGCAUCGGGAUGGGGUUUGGUACCGUGACAGCAAACCUUGGAUGAUGAUGCCUAUGAGAAUUCAGAAAACGCUAGGAUUGAAAUUUAGAAUGAGAUGAAAUAUAUGUCCUUGAAAUUUUAGUGACAUGUCUUAUUUAAGAGAAAAAUGAACAAUUAGUAAACUUUAAGAAUUGUAGAUUAUUUUUUCUAUGGCAACCGUAUGACCAAUAGGGAUGGUAAUUUAUUCCGCUCCAUUGGAUAUCCAAUCGGACCCAAAUGGGACAAGUUUUGUCUGACUAGUUUAGAGUUGGUGGCAAGGAUGAUUCUUCAUUCUAAAACCAGCAGCAGAUCUGGGAUGGAUGUGGAUAGUGGUAAUGCCCACCCCGAACCCGACUUAAUUAUAUAUAAACCUUGAUGAUUAUGGAGAUAAAGGAGAAGAAAGUAUUGUGAUCAAUCACAAAAAAGAUUAAUCAUAUAGAAAGCUACAAGGUACAUGCUUAAUUGUCCCCUUUUUUUAGUUGAUUGCUUUUCUUAGUUUAAGAGACAUUUGACUUCCUAAAGAACAACAUUUCUGUUUGUUGUUUCUCUUAUUGUUGAAAACUUGGUUUGCUAUGUUCCACAUCUUCAACUCUAAUUUUGUUUAAUGGUACGUCAAGUACUGAGAUUUAUUUUUAUUGUUAUUUAGUUGUUUGAUUUGCAUCCGAAAAAAAUGAUUUUUAUAGCUUUAUCCGCCUUGCCUAACUCUAUUUGCCCCACGCUAUCGUGAGGCGGAUACAAGGCAGGUAUGGAUAUGUGGUUCCUAACUGUGUGAUAGGGUAGAGUAACAGCCUAUGCGACCAAUACAUUCCGUAUUGCCACCUCUAAUGGUUAGUGAUAUGCGAAGAUUGUAAAGUUUAGCAGAUAAAGAGAGAUGCAAGCAAUGGUCCCUUUAUGAUGAAGUUCAGACCCAACAUGGCUUGGAAGUUAAAGAAGAUGCCCAAACUAUGGGCUUUGGGUGCAUGAGGGGAUACAAUGUUGGAUCCAGACCAUGUGGAACCCAUUUGGCACCAACAAAUAAGGUGUCACAUCAGACCCCUGACUUAUAAGUAUCUAAAAGCUUAAAUUUUGUGGAUAUAGCAUAAUAAAAUGCAUCAUAGCUCCUAUUGUCUUCAUAAGACUGUUGCCAUGCACAUCAUUUCUAAAAUAGCCUCACUGAGACUAGUGUAAUUGGAUUUUUUAAUGUUAGACCACUUCAAUAGAGUCUAUCAUUGAGUUAGCUCUCGGAUGCAACCUAGUAUUGUUACAUUGGAUGUGGGACAAGGAAAUUUUGGCCAAAAUAUUAUACUUGUGUUAUGCUGACAGCCAGAAUCAAACUUGUCAGAAGCUUUAGACAGCAUAAAUGUUGCCUUCAAUACUCUAGGACCCAUUAUUUAAGUCCUAAAUUUUGAUGGCCAUGCAUAGCUGGUAGAAGCUUUUGAUGGCCGAGAAUUAGUAGUUAAAAAUCUCAUACUAUCAUAAGUUACUUCAAGGUUUGCUGAAUUGGACCAAACUAGGUGGUACAAUCAUACCGAUUCGGUACCAAUACAUAGUACAGGGUAUGUGUCAACAUUCGGUAUGCCAAACCGGCCUCAUAAGGGCACAGUAACAGGUUGGCACUAGUACGGGGCCUGAUAUCGAGACAGCGAAUCUUGAUGUACUUUAUUCAAUUUGAGUCGAUUUAGCCUUUCCUUGCAUAAUAUUUUGAACAAGGUUCGCUGUACCGGUACCGGACGGCGUGCCGGUGCCGAAUUGGUCGUACCGUAUCAUACCGACAUACGGUACGUCGAGACGUACUGGUCUGGUACCGGUACACAAUAUUUUUUCGAUUUUCAAANNNNNNNNNNNNNNNNNNNNAAAGCGCAAUAACUGAUAUACGAACUUUAAGAUGUACUCUGCAUUUAAUUUCUUAUCGAGUGUUUGUGACGCUCGUAGAUGUCUGGAUCAUCAACAUAGUCUGAAGGGAUAUCAGUCCAACCCUCUAGCCAAGCUACAUCGUACUCUCGAAUAUUCAUCAUCCCAUAAAGCAUCCUCUCUGGAUUGUAAGACAUCUCAAACCUCUCGCUAAAAUUCUGACUCUCCCAAACUCUAAUUUUUUUCCUAAAAUUUAAUUUUUUUAAUUUUUAAAUAAAUAAAUAUUUAAAAAUAUUUAAAAAAUAUAUAAUUAACGAAAAUUAAUAAUUUUGGUGUCAUCGUGUAGAUCUUCCAAAGAUCUAUCACAUAUAAUUAAAUCAUACCAAAAUCAUAAGAUUUUGGCAUGAUUUUUUUCUAUUUUUAUUUUACCUCAUUUUUAUUCUAUUUCUAACAAUAAAAAUAAAAAAAAUAUUGACUAACAAAAUAACAGAUUAUCUUACCUCCGGUCAAAGAUCAGCCUCUUCUCAAAUCACUCCAAUUUCACGAAAUUUUGUUUUCUUUUCUAAUUUUUUGGAGGUCUCAAUGAUUAAGUUGCCCAUGGCCAUGGGUGUUCUCUGAGAACUCUCAGAGAACACCGAAGGCCUGGUGCUUAUUAAAGCACCAGGCCCUCCCCACCAUGUGAAGUGGGCCACGCCCAUUUCUCUCCCCCCUCCCUCCCCCCAACCACGUGAAAAGGCCCCUACCUUCCCCUCUCCCCCAUGUGAAAUGGUCUCCUGGGCGGUACGAUUCGGUUCACCCCGAACCGACGGCGAACCGAGCCGUACCACCUGGUUCCGGGCGGUAUGGGCUCGAACCGCACCGAACCGGGCGGUUCGGUGCGGUUCGGGGUCGUUUUCCGAAAAACAGGCCCGAACCGGACCGGUAAGGGACUGGUCCGGCUCGGUACGCCCCGUACCGGGCGGUUCGGCCCGGUACGGCAAACCAUGUUUCGAAGUUCUGCCAGAUUUUAAAAGCACCAACAAGGCCUACUGGAUGUAAGGGGUCCUAGAACCUACAAAUAUUCUAUUUCUACAUGUAGCUCAUUUUUGCUUGCAAAAUGUUGAUUAAUAAAUUAUUUGAGUUUUCCUUCAUCGAGUUUUUCAGUGUGGUGCUGACUCUCCAUGCAACUCAAUGGUGUUGACUCUGUAUCUGUGAGAGACAAACCUAGUACUAAUGCCUAAGCAAUCUCAUGUAGUGCACGGUGCUUUGUAUUAUGAAGUGAGUGUCAUUCAGCUGUGCCAAUUCUAAUUGAAGAACGAGAUAUGGAGUGAGAGCCUUGGCAUGCCGACUCUCUUGGGUGGUCCUCUCCUUUACUUUGUACUGUUAUUUAUGCUUCUGUGUACCCAUUUUAUUUUGCUUCUGCCUCUUUAUAUCACUUUUGUAAACCCCAUCUUCUUGCUAUUGCUCUGAAAAAUUUGCUGAACAGGGGAACCCACUUGUCGCCUGUAUCAAAUUUGGUAUUAGAGGAAGUUUGUUCUUGUAUCAACUCUAGUUUCUGCAUUAAACCUUAGCUAUCACCUGCAGAGAAUUUGAGGUCUUGUGGAUUUCUCCAGUUCCUAGCCACUUGAUGUUAGACGUUGGGGUUGUCCAUCACUUGUGGGCAUCCAAACUCACAAGCCUAUACCAGUCCUGGACGGCUGGACCUCAGCACAAUUUCUUGAUCAUCAAUUGAUGUGUACAUAAGUUUUGGCAACUAGUAGUUGAAUACUUUCUGGAAGAUAGUAAGUAUAUAGAAGAAUAGGGCAAAUACUUUGUAGAAAUUGUUAAAUGGCAUGCUGGGAACUUACAGGAGGAUCGCUAUAACGAAUACAGAACUUAAGGAGAUUCUAUGAUCAAAGUUCACUCCAACAGAUGGUAAGAAAAUUGUCUUGAUGAAAUGGAAUGUCGUUUGAGAUUUUGAACUUUGGCAAGUUUUACAACAGACCAAGUUUGAGGUAGGCGAGCAAUGUUUUUAGUUAGAUAUUGAAGGCUGGAAGGAUUCCAAAUGUAUGACGAUUAUUAUCGGACAGGUGAUAACACGGGGCUCCUAUGUAAUUGCAUCUAGUGGAAUCCAAUCAGUCAUUGCAGUAUUGCACCAAGAUGUGAAAAGAGGGAGUUGAACAAAGAUCUUGAUGGUUAACAUUGAUUUCAAAAUAGCAUCUGGGUCUAUGCUAGAGCCUAGAAAGGCUUACCAUUGAGGCUUCUUACUUGGGCAGUUGAAAGGGCAAGUUAAAGAAUUUGCAUCAAGGCAGUGAACAGAUGGUUUGAUGAAGGUUAGGUGCAUAGUUUAUUGAAAAAUUAGCUUCUGAUUAUGAUUUAUAGCUCCAAACCUGUGUACACUUGUUUUAAUGCUUAAGCUGGUAGGGUUCUCAUGACCUCAGGAGCUGCAGCUAUCCAGUAUUUACCAGUUGAGCUAUGAGGUAAUAAAACAGUUCCUAAAAUCUCCUUAUGAACUGGCAGAAAAUGCUGACUUGCUAUUUUGCAACUCAGAAAAGGCAAUUAGUAUAACAGUGUGAUUUCUGGAACUGUUAAAUGGAGCAACCUCUUCUUUAAAACAUCUGAGGCAUCAAUUUCAUUUCCUUUUAUAUACAUUUUAAUUGUUGAAAGAUUGGAAAAGCAAGAAUAUUCUUUUGCUAAAAACCAGCAUUUGUUGGUCAUUUUUGACUCUGCAAUCAGAAGCAAAUAGAUCCUAUUGUCAAGUUGCAUUAUCUGGUUUGCAAAAUUUAUGUUGGUUCUUGUGCUGUUAUUUAUUAGUUGCCUACUAUUACCAAUUACUAAUGAAAAAUGAAAAGGAAACAAUGCUACCAUCCUUGCUAACAGAGGCCUGAGAAACAGUUAACUGUAUCUGUUUGAUUCAUAUAUAAGAAGUUCAUACUUUUUUAUAAGUUAUAAAUACUCUCUGUCUGCUGGUACAAUGCAUGCAUAUCAGUUUUCUAAGCUAAGAUGUUACCUUUUGGGUUCAAUGUAUUAGCAUGCAUAAACCAUGCAGCUUUGCCAUGACAGUGCACACAAGCACCAGCAGAUGCUAUAUAGAAAUUCCAAACCCUUGGGAUUCAAAUGUAGCAACUUUAUCCAGGGAAGUUCCAGCUUCUCUCAGCAGUUUUACUCAGAAUUUGCAUGGUCUUCUUUACUUGCAUUAUGCAUGUCGGUUACUGCAUUAUAUAGAUGUUAGCCAUUUGUUGGCUGAACACCAUCCAGGAUUUGUUUCUUUUGAUAAUUUGGCAGGACUAUCUGAUUGGUCUUGGCCAUUACUUUGUGUACAACUCACGUUAGGAGUUGCAUAUAUGGGAUGCCACCACAUGCACAUUUUGCAUCCCUUGGUUUGAAUCUUCCUUUCUGAGAACCGUUCAGGAUAAAUUAUCAUCUGAAGCACGGUGAACAAUUAAUUUUUGCCAUAAGCCAAGUUGUGUAGAUUGAAGAGCAUCUAUGCACACAUGUAUAGAUUAAGCAAAGAUAACGGUCUUAUAUGUAUUAGUUUUAAAGAUAGGUAGGAAUGCUGUGAUUACAAUAUACUGAAAUGCUGUAGAUCUGUCUUUUAUGAUUGUUUAUAAUAAUGCUGUUGCACUCUGCAAGCUUCUAUCCCACAUUUUUUGCCACUGCACAGAAUCAUUGCUCUGUUUCUCACCACCUUCAGUUUAGCUUGUGAUGGAGUAUGAGAUUCCUUCCAUUCAAUUGAGCAAGUUCCUUGCUGUCAUGCCUGAAGAGACUUCUUUGGUAGCUGCUCAUUUUGAUUUGCUAAGUUCUAUUGUAUUUUUUUUAUUAAUUGCAGAUAUAAUUCUAAAAGUAAUUAAUAAAAAAAAAACUCCAAAGCUUAGAUAGUGCUACUUGGUACAGCAUAAGAGAUAAAUAUCAAGAAUACUAUAAAAAGAUUCAUGAUUAUAUUAUCAGUGAAUCAUGGCACGCUGAGGAAAGAAGCUAUCUUUAUUGUCCAAAAAAAAAAGAGCUCUGCUGCCAACUAUAAUCAUUACAAUUUCCUCCUCUUGAGGUGAGGCUUCCACUAGAUACAAACGCCAGCAGGGUGUUCCAUCCUCUGGAUGGGUCUGCAGGGAUCUGGGUAGGUUCCUUAUCUUGUUGAACAGGUUCUGGUGUUCAUGCAGCAAUCCAAAAUGGGCAUCAGGAUCGCCUAUCUGUGAAAGCUUAACAUUGGAAAACCUAAGAGUAGGCAACAGAUGAUCUGGCCAGACACUGUAAAAAUGGAAGAUGGAACAGUAGAGCGAGACAGAGGAUUUGUUCAUGAAGUCGGCACGGAGGAUCGUUGGAGUCGAGGCACAGUUUGCAGCUGUAGACUGAAGGACCUGCAUGGCAUGGAGAUGUGGAAGUUAAUAUAGGAUACUUUCAAGCAACCGUCUCUCUCAGGAACAAACCCAGACCUCUGGAGCUUCUCAAAUCUGUCACCAUCUUUAAUGUCGCCAGCCACUCUGAUCAAAGACUUUGCUGUUAUCGCAAUCUACUGGUGCUCUGCUGAUCUAAUAGCUUCUUGUAUAAGAGCAGCUUUCACUUGCGAGAGGUUGGGGAAGUCUACUUCAAAGACACUGCAUUCUUUCAGGCAGCUUAGGCGGUAAGCUGUUGCAUCUAUUCCUGUAAGGUAACCGUCCAUUCUGAAAUUUUGAUUGUUAUGGUUUUAUGCAUUGAAUAUAGUGGAGGCAAAUUAGUUUACAGAGCAGGCACUGACCUGCACCAAGAAGAACGACCUGUGCUCUUCAGUCUUCAAAAAAGUUUGUCGCAGCUUCAAUCCUGGAUCAAACCACAAGGUUCAGACAGCUAGCAUCACACCCGAAACUUCCCGAGCAUUGCCAAGCUGGUCUUUUCUCAUCUUCUCAUGAGGGCUUCGGAGGAAGCUCUCCCCUGCGAGGAUUUCAGCCACUGGAUUGUGGAUGACAUGAUUCCACAAGGCUCGUCCUGCUGCAAUCUGGCACGUGGAGAGUUGGACUGGAUCCUAUUCAUGAUCGAUAGUUGCAUGCAGUGAUCAAAUUGUCUCAGACAUAAGCAGCUCUGGUAACUUGAGCUCCUCCAGCCAUACAGAGUUCACUACAGUGCCUCAAAAGUCUUUCCUCUUCUGACAUGAUCUGGAGAGGACUUCAAAAGCUGUAGAGCAGUAGUAGAGAUGUAGGAAGAAGCAUGAUUUAAAAGUGUUUGGUUUUGUUAGGAGGAGCAGAAAUAGAUCAGAAAAGAGAGUCACACACCCACGCUUGACAAUUUGAAAACAAAAUCCCACCCUCUUUUUCGGGAGAAGGAGAAGGUUACACGGUGGUGCAUGACCUGCUGGGGAUAGAUGUGGUACUGUGGAUAGAACUCAAGGACUGCAGUCAAUCUGGGCCAUCCAUUAGUUCGUUAAAUCUCCUUGAUUGGAGAUUUACCGAUACAGCGUGGGUUUCUUCUAUCCAUCUCACAAUAGGCAUUUGAAUCUAGUUAUAUCAAGUGCUUAGCCAGAAAAGAGGAAAGGUGUGACAAACAUCUGCAUCUUUUGGACUGUUGGAAAGCUUCAUUUGGUGCUGGAAUUUGCCGUCUUCUGGUUGGUGGCCCCAUUAUUAACUUAUGCAACCCACAGCAUAAGAUGUUUAAAGAGUAAAUGAGAAGUGAACUCUAGAGCAAAGAAAAUAACAAAGUAUAAUUAGUGGUUGGAUUAGUGCUUUUGUAAAGAUUACACAGGGAUCCUAAGUUCUGAGGAUGCAAACAGAAUAAUUUUGUGUCCUAUUUUUAUUCUAGAUGCCAUGUUGUAUUAAUAUAUUCCUUCCUCAAGUUCGGGGAUCAGAGUUUAACCUUCUUGGAGCAUUUUUCAAUUUCCUUAAGCAAGAACCUGUUUAUUUUUAUGAUCUUUUAGCUGAAUUAGACUAUUAUAGUGAGAGGUGAGUGCUGUG